UGGAUUUGAUCCCCGUGAAAACGGCAGACAUAUGGGGCCUGUCUUGCAGUUCGUACUUGUCACCAUAGGGCUCCGCUUGGUACGCAUCCUUGGUCAGCCGCACAGGCUGAAUCAUCCUUGUGACUGCUCGCUUCAUCCACGGUUUGAUCUGCUGCUCGAAAUCAAACUUGUCAUUGGCAGGCAUUUUGUGGGUGAUCACUCGGAUCAGCGGCUGCUGGAAGAUGAAAACAUCCCGGUCUGCAGAGCAA
rnacentral:lncRNA from 1 species